rnacentral:misc_RNA from 1 species
AACUGAUACUACCUGCGGGAACCUGCGGAGGGAUCAUUGCUGGAACGCGCCCCAGGCGCACCCAGAAACCCUUUGUGAACUUAUACCUUACUGUUGCCUCGGCGCAUGCCGGCCCCCAGGGGCCCCUCGGAGACGAGGAGCAGGCACGCCGGCGGCCAACCUAACUCUUGUUUUUACACUGAAACUCUGAGAAAAAAAACAAAAUGAAUCAAAACUUUUAGCAACGGAUCUCUAGAUCGG